rnacentral:tRNA from 1 species
UUCCUGGAGGUCCCAUGGUUAAGACUUUGCACUUCCACUGCAGGGAGCACAGGUUUGAAUCCUGGUCUGGAAA